rnacentral:lncRNA from 1 species
UCACAGAUGAGCUGGGCAAUUCUAUCUCCUUUCUUAACUUCAAAAGUCUCCUUGCCAAAGUUGAAGAGUACCACGCCAACAUUUCCCCUGUAAUCCUCAUCAAUAACACCAGCACCAACAUCUAUGAAGUGCUUUGCAGCUAAACCAGAACGCGGUGCUACUCGGCCAUAGCAUCCAGCAGGAAGUGCAAUCUGAAUGUCUGUUUUCACUACAGCCUUUUCCAUGGGUGGGAUCACGUAGUCAUAGGCACUGUACAAGUCGUAGCCCGCGGCCCGUGCAGAGCCCUUGGAUGGAGCGCAGGCAUUCUCGGACAGCUUGGUGAAGCGGAGCCGAGCGGAGGGCUCCCCGGCCGCCGAGCCCUUCUGCCUCUUGCUGGGGGAUGGCUGCAGGGCGGCCUCAGAGCAGGGCAUGGCUGUACGAGGAGGAGAA